GCAUAUCAAUAAGCGGAGGAAAAGAAACCAACAGGGAUUGCCUCAGUAACGGCGAGUGAAGCGGCAAGAGCUCAAAUUUGAAAUCUGGCUCCUCUUGGGGCCCGAGUUGUAAUUUGGAGAGGAUGCUUCGGGACUGGCCCCCAUCUAAGUGCCCUGGAACGGGCCGUCAUAGAGGGUGAGAAUCCCGUCUGGGAUGGGUGGCCUGGCCCGUGUGAAGCUCCUUCGACGAGUCGAGUUGUUUGGGAAUGCAGCUCUAAAUGGGUGGUAAAUUUCAUCUAAAGCUAAAUAUUGGCCGGAGACCGAUAGCGCACAAGUAGAGUGAUCGAAAGAUGAAAAGCACUUUGAAAAGAGAGUUAAACAGCACGUGAAAUUGUUGAAAGGGAAGCGCUUGCAACCAGACUCGCCCGGGGGGGCUCAACCGGCACUUGUGCCGGUGCACUCCCCCCCGGGCGGGCCAGCGUCGGUUUGGGCGGCCGGUCAAAGGUCCCCGGAAUGUAUCACCUCUCGGGGUGUCUUAUAGCCGGGGAUGCCAUGCGGCCAGCCCGGACCGAGGAACGCGCUUCGGCUCGGACGCUGGCGUAAUGGUUGUAAGCGGCCCGUCUUGAAACACGGACC
rnacentral:rRNA from 1 species